rnacentral:rRNA from 1 species
CUGGCGGCGCGCUUAAUACAUGCAAGUCGAACGAGAAGCCAGAGCUUGCUCUGGUGGAAAGUGGCGAACGGGUGAGUAACACGUGAGAAACCUGCCCCAAAGAUUGGGAUAAGCCUUGGAAACGAGGUCUAAUACCAAAUACCUUCCUUUAACACAUGUUAAAAGAAGAAAUGCUCCGGCGCUUUGGGAUGGUCUCGCGAUCUAUCAGCUUGUUGGUGAGGUAACGGCUCACCAAGGCAUCGACGGAGGUAGCUGGUCUGAGAGGAUGUCCAGCCACAUUGGAACUGAGACACGGUCCAAACUCCUACGGGAGGCAGCAGUAGGGGAAUCUUGCACAAUGAGGGAAACCUUGAUGCAGCGACGCCGCGUGCGGGACGAAGGCCCUAGGGUUGUAAACCGCUUUCAGUAGGGACGAAAGUGACGGUACCUACAGAAGAAGCCCCGGCCAACUAUGUG